rnacentral:misc_RNA from 1 species
GAUGAAGAACGUAGCGAAAUGCGAUAAGUAAUGUGAAUUGCAGAAUUCAGUGAAUCAUCGAAUCUUUGAACGCACAUUGCGCCCGCCAGUAUUCUGGCGGGCAUGCCUGUCCGAGCGUCAUUUCAACCCUCGAACCCCUCCGGGGGGUCGGCGUUGGGGAUCGGCCCUUUCACCGGGUGCCGUCCCCCAAAUACAGUGGCGGUCUCGCCGCAGCCUCUCAUGCGCAGUAGUUUGCACACUCGCACCGGGAGCGCGGCGCGUCCACGUCCGUAAAACACCCCAAACAUCUGAAAUGUUGACCUCGGAUCAGGUAGGAAUACCCGCUGAACUUAAGCAUAUCAAUAAGCGGAGGA